UACGUAGGUGGCAAGCGUUGUCCGGAAUUACUGGGCGUAAAGAGCGCGCAGGCGGCCGAGUAAGUCGAAUGUGAAAGCCCCCGGCUCAACUGGGGAAAGUCAUUCGAUACUGUUCGGCUGGAAGAUAGGAGAGGGAAGCGGAAUUUCAGGUGUAGUGGUGAAAUGCGUAGAUAUCUGAAGGAACACCAGUGGCGAAGGCGGCUUUCUGGCCUAUUCUUGACGCUGAGGCGCGAAAGCUAGGGGAGCGAACGGG
rnacentral:rRNA from 1 species